rnacentral:lncRNA from 10 species
UCCUCCUCCUCCUCCUCCUCCGCCCCUCCCCGGUCUUCACACAGACACAUUCAUGCCUGCUCCUCCUCUUCCCCCUACUUGACCCCGCGCCCUCCCGGCGCGCCGAAGCCCCACCCACCCGGCGAGGGGAAGGGGGCCCGGGCGUGAUGUCACCCGCGCCCUCUCUCUUCUCUCUCCACACCGCCAGGACACCCCCCAAAUGCGCGCCCUGGCACUCGUGCUGCGUCCUGUCUGCUCCCAUCUUCUCCCACCCAGCCUCUCUUUCUCACUCUUGCUCAAGGGCUGGACUCCCCUUUAUUCUUUUAAGGCUUCUCUGAUUACCACCGCCCCCCAUCCUUGGCUCCCCAUCUCCUUGUUUUACAUUUUCCCAAAGCCAUCCCCGAAACUCCCUCUCGCGGGAUGAUGCCUUUGGAAGUUCAGGGUUUUUCUCUCCACCGGACUCGUCUGCCCUCGGGGCCAAAUCCGCGAAGCGAGGAGGAGCUCCCACCACACAGCCUGCUGUCCCUAUGGGCCACUUUAUAAAAGACACAAAAACAAAGACCCCAGGCUUGGAGCCUGGUCUCUAACGUGCCGCUUUUCCUUGAGCUACAAAGUGUCUCUGUCCCUGCUUCAUUUUCAGAGGCCCAUGCUAGUAAAAGUUAUUUGGCCUCCUUCCUCGACCAUCCAGUCCUUGUUCAUCUGCGUCAUUUUAAUAUAUCCAACCUGGACAUGUAACUUAAAAAAGGAGUUCUCGGGGGGAAACACAGGAAGAAAAAGAAAGAAAAGAAAGCCCCUGUGACAUUCCAACAUCCCCUCUUUCUGGUUAAGCCGGGUCCACCCAGCCAGAAGUGCCCCGGAGCUCCGGGUUGCUUGUGUGGCGUUGCCGCCAAGUGUCUUGACUGAAGGAAGAGUGUGGGUGGAUGAAUGAUGAGCUAUUAGAAUUUGAAGAGCAUUUUGAGAUUCAAAUGCUUAACUGAAGAAUCUUUUAACGAAAUUGAGGGUGGUAUUCAUUGUUUGUUUCUUGGGACUCCUUCCUUGUCACAAUGACAUGACAAGUGCAGAGACAGACUUAAGGUUUUAUGGUGGAAGUGGUGGAGGUAAGGUGGGGCUAAAGGCCCUAGUUAGCCAUUUGUUUUAAGAUUUCCCUCGACCUCACGGCUCAGGAAAAAACAAAACACCACUGACUCAUCGCAGAGAGCACGAGACUCAGAAGCCCUGUGGCAGCCCCAUCUCCGCGCUCACUAACUGGCCUCAGGCCUGGGAGGAUUCUCUGAGCCUCCAUAGGCUCUGAGCCCAUCUAGGGGAUAGUGUUAGGAGUGCCAGGUCGCGUACCUCCCAGGAUGGCUGAGGGUUUCCAAUGAGAAAUACAUGGAAAAGUAUAGAGGGCUACAAGUGUGUAAGAAUUAUGCUUUUACAAUUGAAGAGAAUUGCAAGCCACUCUUUCCUUUAUAUACUCCCAGCAUCAGUUACAAUUGUUUUUAGUAUUCAUGUACUGCUUCUGCCUCAAUCACAUGAAUACAAAUAGUACAUCCUGAUAGCCUACUCUGUUCACCCAAUGGCAAAAAAUAAAUACAAAGAAAGACAGCCAAUAAAUCAUCAAAUAAUAGAAUAAACUAGAUAUUUCGACUCUUACUUCAGUCUUAUAGCACAUUUUGAAUCAUGAAGAUCUUGAUUUUUCAGUUCUUAAAAGACAAGAACAAAGCAAAAGCAGCUAAUCUUUCCCCCUAUGCCCGUCACAAUAGCUAAACAAAAAAGAGGAAGAAUAAUGCUGUGUCUCUUAUGUGUCCAACUCUGCUUUAAUG